rnacentral:rRNA from 1 species
GUUAGUGGCGGACGGGUGAGUAACGCGUGAGAAUCUGCCCUCAGGAGGGGGAUAACGGCUGGAAACGGCCGCUAAUACCCCAUAUGCCGAGAGGUGAAAUGAAAUUCGCCUGAGGAUGAGCUCGCGUCUGAUUAGCUAGUUGGUGGGGUAAGAGCCUACCAAGGCAUCGAUCAGUAGCUGGUCUGAGAGGAUGAUCAGCCACACUGGGACUGAGACACGGCCCAGACUCCUACGGGAGGCAGCAGUGGGGAAUUUUCCGCAAUGGGCGAAAGCCUGACGGAGCAACGCCGCGUGAGGGAUGAAGGCCUCUGGGCUGUAAACCUCUUUUAUCAAGGAAGAAGAUCUGACGGUACUUGAUGAAUAAGCCACGGCUAAUUCCGUGCCAGCAGCCGCGGUAAUACGGGAGUGGCAAGCGUUAUCCGGAAUUAUUGGGCGUAAAGCGUCCGCAGGCGGCCUGAUAAGUCUGUUGUCAAAGCGUGGAGCUUAACUCCAUUUCGGCAAUGGAAACUGUGAGGCUUGAGUGUGGUAGGGGCAGAGGGAAUUCCCGGUGUAGCGGUGAAAUGCGUAGAGAUCGGGAAGAACACCAGUGGCGAAGGCGCUCUGCUGGGCCAUAACUGACGCUCAUGGACGAAAGCCAGGGGAGCGAAAGGGAUUAGAUACCCCUGUAGUCCUGGCCGUAAACGAUGAACACUAG